ensembl:lincRNA
AGAAUGUGUGGCCUUGUUGAAGUAGGUGUGGCCUUGUUGGCAGUAGUAUGUCAUUGAGAGGGUAGUCUUUGCGAAUGCUUAGCUCCUCCUACACCAACCAUACCUGGACACUGCCAUGCUUCUGCCUUGAAGAUAGUAGAUUGAGCCUCUGAAUCUAGUGAAUGGGCUUAAGACCAUGCAUUGGUUGGACAUUGAUAGAUAAGGUUGAAAAAGGUUUCUAUAGACACAAAACUCUGUUUUACUUGUGAAGAAUGGAUUUUUCAAGUCAGUAUUCAGUGCUUGCGUCAAGACCAGCAAGACAAGUGAGAAAGGAACCUAGCAUAACACCUCUGAGAUGAUCCAUCAAGCAGCCAAUAGAAAGAGAUGCAGAGACCCACAGUCAAAUAUUCAAUGGAGCACAUGGCAUCUUAUGGAAGAGUUGGGAGAGGAUUGAUGGAUCUGAAGAAGACAGAGGCUGCACAGGAAGACCAAGAGAGUCAACUAUCCUGGACCCUUGGGGACUCCAGAGACUGUGUCACUAACCAAAAUGAAAGCAGAGGUUGCACCUAGGCCUCUUUGCACAUGGUAACAGAUGCACAGCUUGGUUUCCAUAUUUGCCAUUAAUUCCUUUAUGAGCUGUAUGAGCUCAUACCAUCAGGGAAUGUUGUCCCUGCCAAGGUUAAUGACUCAUGGAUAAUCAGAAAAAGCAUGAUUCAGGAGAGUGAGUCUGUGUCUCUGUGAUGCUGAGAUUUAAGGUUAUGACAAAGAACUCUAAAAACAUGAGUUCUAGAAUAUAUAAAUCACUGUAAGAAUUGUUUAUUACAAGAUUUCUCAACUAUGCAAUAUAAAAGGUUGCAAAGUGAAUUGAAUGAGGGCCUUCAAAAACCUGAAAGGGAAGAGGCAGCUACACUAAUGAUUCAUCUUAGAAAGAUAUUAAGGAAGCCAGGUGUGCAAGAUAUGUUAGUACAAUGGUGCCACGAAGCUUAUAGGAAUAAGCGUUGAAUAUCUGAGUGGAAUUAAUGCUCACUUAAUGAGGUGGAACCCAUAUCCCACAGUAUGGGUUACUAAUCACCUGAGACUGGAUAGCCCAGAGACCUAGAAUAAAAUCAAAGUCUACUGGUAUUCAAAAAUGAAAGAAAAUCCAGCACUAAAAUAACUCCUAGUGAUAUCAUGUUAUACUUACAGUUUAGAACCUUGCUUAACCAUUAUCAAAUAAGCUUUUCCUACCCAGGUUACUUACAAAAGGAAGGUUCCUUUACCCUACCAUUCUAUCUUAUAAUCUUUCAAUGAAGGAAAAUUAAGACAAGAACUAAAAUCUGUAGUUGCAUAACAUCUACAGUCAAAAACAGAAAUAAAGACAUGAAAUCAUGUUGCCAACUAGAACUCUUCACUCAUAUGAUUCAAAGCCCAAAUUAUAAAAUUAUACCAACUACCAUAGGCUAUGACUUGUUCCAUGAGCCAUCAUGGUAUCCCUACACAGACAUGCAGUUAGCCCAAUCAAUGGUAAUUAGAUAAUCCCUCAUUAAGACUUCCUAGGUGAUUCUAUUUUGUGUUAAAUUGACCAUUAAAAUUUAUUACACCAUUAUCGUUUGCUUCCCUAGUAAAACUGGUGAUAUACGCUAGAGUCCACAGAUUUGAGUAAGCUCCUAACUGAUUGGAUGAGAAGCAAUACUAUAGCAAACCUCACAGUUUAAAUUAAAUUAACAUACAAGUAAGGUGGGAUAUAGAUAUGACAUAUUUGUAGAGUGAUGUGCUUCUUUUUCAAACUAAUUAGCCACCUACCAAGAAGCAUCAUAAUUAUCAUGAUACUUUAAUAGUCACACUAAAGAAAUUACUACAUUAGUUUGGGUAUACAAGAAUAAUUCUCUUGAUUAUGCACAUCUGCAUUAGUUAUUUUGAGUAUAAAAUUUAAAAAAAAUACUUACUAUUUCCUUGAUGAUUUAACCCUGUCUCCACUUAAUAGAGCUACAAACAGACUUGCAUUCCAAGGACCAAAAAACAAAGCAAAACAACCAAACAAGCAAAAUCUUUUUUUUUUUUUUUUUGACAAAAUUUUCUGGAAAGGGUCGCUACACUGGCAAUGGAUUCUGUGGUUUAUAUAUGAUUGAUUGAGAUAUUUACACUUCAAAUAGUUAUUUUGGAAUUCUAUUAAGCAUUAUUUUAGCCCCAAUACUUAAUUGAAAGAGAAAGAGAUCUCUGUUUAUCAGAACUCAGUACCUAUAACAUUUGAUAUGAUUUUAAGAACCAAUUAAAAUUUCUGAAUGAACUAAGAUUAUAGUAGCAUAUUUACAUAUGAACCAUGGAAUUAAUAGAUAUAUUUUUAGUUUCAGAGACUUAAAAUCAUGGCCUCUAAUUGUAUUAUGAAUCUGUAUUAAUAUGAACAGUUAAAUAACAGUUAAAUGCUUUGAAAUCAAUUAUGGAUAAUUCUGCCUUGACCCCAAAUAGUUAUUAACAAAGAUCUGUGUUAUUUUUUCUUUGUAAUAUAAUCAUAUAGUUACACUUUGAGGUCAGUAGUAGAAUAAACCACACAAAUUCUACUAAAUAAAAUAUGAGACACUGUGUAAGACAGUAAAUCAUGUAGAACUGAAAAGUCACAAAAGAUUCUAAACUAGAAAUAAUUUCAUUCAAUAUAAAAUUUUUAUGCGAACCCAGCUAUGUGCAAUUUCUAACCAGUGCAAUGCAAUGAAUUGCAUAAAGAACUUUGUGUAUAAAAGUAAUAAAACUGUAGCCUUUUGAGGGGAGAAUUAUUUAAGAAAAGCACAGCAACCUGAAAUAGGAGUGGUAAGUCAGACUUGCAUUUAGUCUUCAUUUUUGCAACAGUGUAUACCAUGAAGAUAAUUACUUAGAGAACUUUAUUUGUUAAGAAAGAAAACUCUUGCUUAUAU